GGAAAAAUUCAACUGGUCUGGCAGCAUCUGUGGGAAGAAAGCAGAGUUAAUGUUUCAGGUCGAACAGGUAGUAAAUUGUGCUUGUGGGGUCCUUCAAGCUGAAAUGGUAUAUUGUGGAGAAAGAUUGGGCGGCAGGUGACCAGCAGUCCAUAAGAAGAUAAAACAACGUGUGAAGACUUGGAUAACACAAUGUGGAGCUGAAGGAACACAGCAGGCCAGACAACAUGAGAGGAGCAAGAAAGCUGAUGUUUUGGGUCGGGACCCUUCUUCAGAAAUGUCAGCUGGCCUGUUGUGUUCCUCCAGCUCCACACUGUGUUAUCUCUGACUCCAGCAUCGGCAGUUCUUUCUAUCUCUGUGUGAAGCUUUGGGUUUUUUUUAAGUUGGAAUAAUAGAAGCAGUCUGAAUGGGUGCAGUCAAGCUCCCGCCCACAAAACCAGCAUUUUUACUUUUUUCAGUAGCAGAAGCUGCUGGAGGUGCGAACAAGCUGCCAUAUCUCUCUUUGCUAUAGCUGAAAGCUGGAGUUCUCUCUCCCUCACAGAAUUGUCUUUUGAUGUUCUUUCCUCUUGAAUUGGAGAACUGCAUGUGAGACAAUCCAUUUUCUGAAUUUGCCUUUUGCCAAGGAUGUGUUUAUGGAAUGUUGCUAUAUUGGAACAGUUAAUUACUGAUAGUUAUUGUUCUGUUAAAUUUUCCAAUAGAGUUAAGUUAUUCCAAUUCCUUCUUUCUUUUACUGUAUUUUAAUAAUAGUGGAUGAAUAAGUGUGUUUUGCUUUCCAUCUGGUAGUUUGACCAAUCAAAUUGCACCUGGAAUGCAACACCUUACAUUUACCUGUAAAAUAAGAAAAAGUUAGGGUCUAUCUUCUAAAUAAUUUAGAAUAAUAAAGAUUUCAUGAAUUUCACCUGCAUUUCUACAGCACACUACCCUCAUGGCUACAAGAACAGGUCAGAGGCUAGGAAACCUGCAGUGAGUUACUUAACUCCUGACUCCUCAAAUUGACAAGGGCGCAAGUCAGGAGUUUGAUAGAAUACUCCCUAUUUGCCUGAAUGAGUUCCAACAACACUCAAGAAGAUUUAAACCACCCAGAACAAAGCAGGCACUUGAUUGGCACCACAUCUACAAACAUUCACUCACUCCACCAUUGAAGCUUUUUAGUAGCAAUGUGCCCAUACUCAAGAUGCACUACAGAAAUUCAUCAAUGCUUCCUAAACACUUUCCGAACCACCUGCAAUUUCUCCGCCAAGCCAGUCACCAUCCAAAUUUAGAAAUAUAUUGCUGUUCCUUCAGUGUCACUGGUUCAAAUGUUGAAACUCCCUCCAUUAAUGUCUCUGUGGCUGUGCCUUCACCAAACUGACUAGCCAUUCAAGAAUGCAGCUCACCACUACCUUCUCAAAGUCAGCUAGGGAUGGGCAAUAAGUGCUGGCCCAGCUAGUCUUGCCCAAAUCCUAUGAGUGAAUUAGGAAAAAGUAGUAAGACAGGUAAGGAUAACAGAUUUGCUCCAAAAGUGUGGAAGUGAACGAGAUGGGCUUUUACAACAAUUGACUAUGGUUAUCAUGGUCAUGAUUACUGAGACUAAUUUUGAAUUCUAGAUGCAUUAAUUGAAAUUUCACCAGCUAUCACUUAAACCCCGCUCUCCAGAAUUUUAGCUUGGAUCUCUGGGUUGCUAGUCUGGUAAGGUUGCCACUACACCACACUCUCCCCCCGACUAAACUGCACAGAGAGAGAAAAGUCCACCAAGUGGGCAGUUUGUGCAUAGACAUUCAAAAAAUAAAAAUUCUGCACCCACACAUUUAAAUGAAUAAGUUGCAUAUAACAAAACAAAGCUAUAGGGAAUAUUGAUGAACACCCUGAACAGUCCCUUGUUGUUUCAAUAUGCGCAGUAUGUAAGCAACACAAAAUACUUUGAAUAAGGGUUCACCUAAGAUGCUGAAGACUUUGGAGAAGAAACAAAAAAAGGCAUCUGAUUUCUUUUUGCAUGAUCAUACUAGGGUUUCUGUAGCCAUCCAAUUCUUCACCAAAUAAAAUGUCCUUCUUCAUGCAUUAUUA